AUGGCCUCGCGCAGGAGCGGCCCCCAGCACCUGAUCGGCAGCGUGGGAAGGUGGCUGCUGCUGCUGCUGCUGCUGGGACUGGAGGUAGGCGCGGAGGUCGUCGUAGCUGAGGAGGGAGAAGUUCUCGGGCCACUCGCCGGAGAUGAUGGCGUCGGGGUUCUCGUCGAGCCCGAGCCGGAGCCCGCUCCCGUCCAUGAACGUGGACGCCCGGCACCCGAAGCUCCCUGCGCCGGUGGCUUUGCCCCUUCUGGCCUCAGCCUUGGCCCCUUUGAACAUGGAGCAGCUCUGCAAGGUAUUGAUGCACGCCAUGGAUGCUACUCUUCCUUGUCUCGUGUGGUGGAUGUUGUCUGA
rnacentral:rRNA from 1 species